UACCAUACUAUUAUACCCUCAAAAUUUUCCCAUAAAUUUGAUUAUUCAUUUAUUUUUCAACGAAGAAUCCGGCAAAAUGGAAUAUAAGCAAAAUACCGGAUUUCAAGUUAUCGGCGAUAACGUAUAAUCGUAUAAAAAAAAAAAAAAAAAAAAAAACGAAAUAAAAGUAAGAUUCGAGGGUAUCGACGUCAUGUGACCGAUCGAUUAUUAUUUGCUCCCCUAGCCUUCUUCUUCGAUAUCAGUCGAUAAUUGCGAGCGCAAACGCGUCACCAUUUCGAAUUUAUUUUAACGUAUACACCGAAAAACUACCAACGAUCGGACCACGUUGUCGUUUAAGUAAAUAUAAUCUUAUUAGAUUAAUUAUACUUAGACCUCGGUUUAAUAAUGUGCAUAUUUUAUUUGCACCGAAAUUUUGUUAACCGCGAAUUUCUCUGUCUUUUCUUUUCUUUUCUUUUUUUUUCUUUUUAUUAUAUACUUCUUUCUCUUUCUUUCUAUCUUUCACAGGAUAGGACGCACUUGCGUGACGCGAACGCCACGCGCAGCUGCGACCUUCGUCGCCCUUGUCCCACCGGUUGUAUGCCAUACGAGAGAUACUCGUAUUCAUCAUUUUCACGAGCGACGCACUUAAACGUGGUGCUGCUGCUGUUGCUGUUGCUGCUGCUGCGACGUUUUUCCUAUUUUUCUUUCUCCUUCUUUUUUCUCUCAUUCUCUUUUAUCUCUCACAAUCUUUUAACUCUUCUCACUAUCGCAUACUCCAAUAUUCUUGUACCACAUAUAAAAUAUUCUUUAAUUAUAUUUUAUCUUUCGGAGAUAUACUAAUAAAUGUGGGCCCAAUCGCGUUUAAAUAAUUCAUAAGUAAAGAUUAUUUUCUAUUUUCUUUUGUUUUGUUUUUAAGUUUGAUCUCUGGCACAAAUACAAUAGAAAAAUAAAAGGAUAAUCAUAAUAUUAUUUGUGAGAGAAAGAAAGGAAAAAAGUUUCAAUGGUAAGAGUGUGAAAGGGGGGGGGGGAAAAAAAGGAAAAAAGUAAAAGAUAUAAUAUAGAAAAGUACGGGUGCGGUGCGAUACGGUGCUGUGCGGUGCAGUGCGGUGCGGUGCGGUGCAGUGCGGUGCAGUGGCGGGCAAAGUAAACGGCGCCGUGCGUGCGGCGCUGUGCGUUGAUAGACAGCGCAGUUCAGUGUGCAGUCAUAUUCAAAUUCUAUCGAAGAAGAAGAACAAGAACAAGAACAACAACAACAACAACAACAACGUUUGUUUAAUCUACGAUUAAGUGAUUCGAGUCUUUUUGAGAGUGGGGGUAUAUUUAGGGGAAUAGUGAUCUAAAAAAUCGAUCAAUACGGGUAAUCGGGAACCAAAGGAGUUGGACGAGUCGGGGAGUUCGAGUUCGAGUUCAAGUUCACGAUUGGACUUGGACGCG
rnacentral:misc_RNA from 1 species